UGCCCACCCAUCAUGUCAAAUCGAUGACCUCCGUGUCGAUUGUCAUCCGUGUACAGUUCUUUUUCGUAAGUCAGUCAGUCAUUUGUUUUUUUUUGUGUGUCACUAUUUUUCUGUUGCAAGCGCCUUCGCUUGAAUAGUAAAUUGUUCGGCCAUUGUACGCCGUUAUUUUUUUAUUUGUUUAUUGCAUUCUUGUGCUCAAAAUUUUCGUACCCUUGCACACCACUAGUGACCAUCACUAAAUAUCUUCAUUGCCGUAGUCGCUUUUUCGCGGUCUGUUCUCAUCUGCCAUUACGUACUUGGAUUUACACUCUGACUCGUCAUACUCAAAUGUUUGACACCAUUACCACAAGAUCUCAUACAGUCCACUCGUCACUAUCAACAACGUCAUCGAUACAGCUAAGUUUUAUAUUAUUUUUAAUGUUAUUUAUUGUUUGUUUUAAUUGAGAUUAACUAUUUUGUUUUAUGCCGCUUCUCCGGCCAUUAGUAUUUAAGGGCCCCCCGUUACCCCUUAAAUUUAAGAUACUCUCUGAGGAAUUUCUAAUAUAUGUGAUUAUUUGUUAUUUAAUUAUUGUCUAUUCUCGUUUACUUAUUGGAUGUAUAAUUAGCCGUCGUCUCCUAGGUGACCCACUCCCACAUCAAUAUUAACGUUUUAUUAAACAGGUUUAAGGUAAAACGGCAUUCUAGUGCGGUGCACAACUAGCCGUCCUACGGUCUAGCUGCCUCGUACACAUCAAUAAUAUUUUUCAGAUAAUUUUGAUUUAGAUAUAGUGUUUAUAUUAAUUAAUUUAUUUGAUUGCGUUUAAUAAAAUAAACAAUGCAUUUGAUUAUAUUAAUGUAUUGUUUAUCCAUAUUCUACAAAUUACUUACACACAUGAUGUCUUAAGAAUAAUCUUACUUCAAUUUUUUAUUUGUACAUGUUUGUAAAACAAAUCUGUACAGAUAUUUAAUAUUUCCAUUCCCAUCUACAAAGGAAAUGACAUCUCCAUGAUUUAAAAUUUGAUAAUCAUUUUGGUCAAUAGGAAUUUGCACACAAUUUACAUAAGUUUCAUUAUCUGUUCCCUGUAGUACAGAUAUUGUUGAUCAACUUAGAAUUAAUUAUUCUCUUUGAUAGCUAAAUUAAUAUAAACAUGCAGUAAAAAUUUUAAGUCUUACAUUGUGAGAAAUAAUAUAUUGGUCAUUGGAUUUCUUUAUAAAACAAUGUCGUCGUGCUAUAGAAUUUUCAUCAAUUACAAGUGAACAGGCAGGAGAACGUCCAAUAACAAACUGAAGAGUUAUAAUAUAUCAAUUUAACCAUUUUAAAGAAAAAUGAAGUAUAUUGUAAAAUAUAAAACAAAGUUAAGAUGGCUUAAAGUUAAUAUAGUUAUUAUUUUCAUAUAAAAAUAUAUGUAUUUUUAAUAAGUUCAUCUUAACACUUAAAUUUAUUUUAUUUCCUAAAGAAAAAAUCUACCUCAGUCUCUCCAAUAGGAUAGUUAGUGCCACUAGCCAAGCACUGUAAUGUUGUAUUACCAGUUAUGUCAGAAUAACUGUUACUUCUUUUUAAGCUCAUUGUAUUUUUUAUCUCUUUUAAGAUUUAUGGUAUUCAGUUUCAAAUCUAUCAUAUAAAUAAACUUUAAAGUAGACUUAAAAAUAAUGAAAGUAUUUGUAUUGAAUUAAAAACAUUCGAAACUAUGGUAGCACAUGUUAAUUACGUACUGUUAAUACAAAAUAGAACAAUUUUAUAAAAGCUUAUAGAAAAUAAUAAUGUUAAACAAAUAAAUAAUUGGUUAUAAUGCUAUAACUUUUUGAAAGAUCUAUGGACCAAUAUAAUUCUUUUUUUUAUGGAUGUAUGAUGUCUUUAAUUAUCAUUUGGUAUAUUUUUUUAUAAAUCUGACCCUAAAUCUGCAUACAGGAGGGGAUUCAAUAUGACAACUUUUUUACAAAAAAUAUACUUUUUCAAUUUAAAUUUUGAAAGUGUUCCGGAAAGUCUGACACUUUUAUAUAUAUCUUAAUUUCCGCAAUCCCACUGUGCUGGGUUUUUUAAAAUGAUUUUAUUCUGAAAACACUGUGUUCUAUUCAAAAUACUUUAUGUGUUACUAUUUUACCGUGUUUUUUGCCCGUUGUUUUUUUUUCUUUUAUUCCACUUUUAUAUGCUACUCAACAAUAUUUUAUUUACGUGUGUAUAUUUUUUUUUGUUAAGUAGCAACUACGAAAUACAAUAGGCGACGGUAAGGCUGACUGUCGAGUGAGCAAAUUCCUACGAGUGUCGCGUUGAAUGUUAAAUAUUUUAAUUAUAAUAUUUUGAGUGCCACCAGUUGUUGUUGCCCGACUUAGGAUGAGACACGGUAACGGGUUGGAGUGACUGUAAGAUGUAAUAUCAAUUAAAUUACACUUUUAUGAAUAACUACAAUAAUAUAAUUUAAGUUCUAGAAAUUACAGUUAUUAUUAUAUGAAUUAUAAAUUAAUAGUCUUCUAAUAAUUAUUAACAAAUUUAUAUUUAUGUGACACUUCAUUCAACAACGGUUCAAACACUAUUCAAGUUGCUUACCCAAACUAUAAGUUGUCCAUUUACAAAUUAUCAGACUAACUUAACCCCAAUACAAUAAUACUACGGGUUCGUGACAAUAAACAGCUCUGUGAAUCAUCGACACGUUGUUGUUUUUGGUCCACUGUCUGCAAACUCCAGCAUCCAUUUCGAGCAUAAUUUUCUUAUACCCAAAUGAUCAUGUAAAAUCUAUUGCACACGGUCAAUUGAGACCUUUACAGAGUUAUAUUGUGAAGAUUACACCUAUCAAUGUUGAUACAAACUUUUAUAGAAUAUAUUUUUUUGUUCCAUGAUUUAAUGCCAACUUUUGAAGAUCGUUGCCCCACUGUGCGUCGAAUCGUUGAAUCCGUGGAUUGACUUGGAGUAUAUCUUCUCAUUGUAUAUAAAAUUAUUUUAUAGUUCAACGUCAUUACAUUUGUAUUUUGCGGACGUCUGAUUGAAUUUAAAUAUGAAUUUAUACAUCUGAAAAUCAUAUCAUACAGAAAAAAACAUAUUAAUUAGAUGAAUGUCAUAUGGGCUUAGCGCUUUAGCAGGAACCCGGUGGCGAACAAAUCCUUAUGGCGUACCAACCAAUAGCUCUAGCUCCCAAGGUUUUAUUUUAUUAUUUAAUAGAGUUCAUGUAAAAUAUAAUUAAAAUACUUAUGCUUAUUUAUAUUUGUAUUAAAAACGUUAAAUAAUAUGUUAUUGUGCUCAUAGUUGUUAAAAAAGUACCUAUCAUAUUGCUUGGUAUAAAAUAUCAAUUAACAAUAAGGUAAAUUAUCUUAAUUUU